rnacentral:rRNA from 1 species
UGGGGAAUAUUGCACAAUGGGCGCAAGCCUGAUGCAGCAACGCCGCGUGAGGGACGACGGCCUUCGGGUUGUAAACCUCUUUUGGCAGGGAAGAAGCGAAAGUGACGGUACCUGCAGAAAAAGCACCGGCUAACUACGUGCCAGCAGCCGCGGUGAUACGUAGGGUGCAAGCGUUGUCCGGAAUUAUUGGGCGUAAAGAGCUCGUAGGCGGUUUGUCGCGUCUGCUGUGAAAACCCGAGGCUCAACCUCGGGCCUGCAGUGGGUACGGGCAAACUAGAGUGCGGUAGGGGAGAUUGGAAUUCCUGGUGUAGCGGUGGAAUGCGCAGAUAUCAGGAGGAACACCUGAGGCGAAGGCGGGUUGCUAGGCCGACACUGACGCUGAUGCGCGAAAGCCAGGGGAGCAAAC